rnacentral:tRNA from 2 species
AUUUCUUUUUAUAUAGUUUAAUAAAAAACAUUACAUUUUCAUUGUAAAAUUAAAUCCCUAUUUUAUAA